rnacentral:rRNA from 1 species
GACGAACGCUGGCGGCGUGCUUAACACAUGCAAGUCGUACGGUAAGGCCCUUUCGGGGGUACACGAGUGGCGAACGGGUGAGUAACACGUGAGUAACCUGCCCACAACUUUGGGAUAACGCUAGGAAACUGGUGCUAAUACUGGAUAUGUGCUCCUGCUGCAUGGUGGGGGUUGGAAAGCUCCGGCGGUUGUGGAUGGACUCGCGGCCUAUCAGCUUGUUGGUGGGGUAGUGGCCUACCAAGGCGGCGGCGGGUAGCCGGCCUGAGAGGGUGACCGGCCACAUUGGGACUGAGAUACGGCCCAGACUCCUACGGGAGGCAGCAGUGGGGAAUAUUGCACAAUGGGCGCAAGCCUGAUGCAGCAACGCCGCGUGCGGGAUGACGGCCUUCGGGUUGUAAACCGCUUUCAGCAGGGACGAAGCUUUUUGUGACGGUACCUGCAGAAGAGGCACCGGCUAACUACGUG